ensembl:lncRNA
GUUUCCACUUUAAUGCAGAGUUCCCUUUCCUGGGUGCCACCUCUCACCCAGGCCCAGUAUGACACACAUGCAGGCCUCAAAAGGUAGGUCUUGGGGUCUUCCUAUUUAGUAAAUGAAGAAACUCAGGAGCAGAGAGACUAAACAAUCUGUCUGAAGGGUUAGCAUGUAUAAAAGUUUGGGAAGGAAGCCUGUCUUUCUGGUUUCAAAGCAGGCUUUUUCCUCCCUCCAUUGUGCUAUCUUGAAAGGACAGAAACACAUCCCAGAUUGUCCAAUGAUCAUUUAUAGAGCUUGCUGAAAUCCUAAUAUUGUGUCUAUGAUUCUUUUCCACCAUGCUUUGUUUGGAGGCGAAGGCUGCUUUGAGCAGUGGCCACAGAGUGAGGUUAAGCAGAACAACAUCCUGAGCUCUGUCCCUCCUCUAGGCCUGGGCUGGGUGCUGUCUCUGCUGCUAUCAAUGGGUCUACCCCAUGCCAGCUUCAGGGAUGUGGAGACAAGGCUCAAGAGGAAGAGGCAUUACUUUAAAGUUUUGACCACAGAUCAGCUGCUCUUAACUGGUACACUUCACAGACCCUUGGGUGCUUCUCCCUGCCAAGUGCUUCUCUUCCUGUCUUCACUGAAAGACAGGGCAAUUCUCUUUCCUCUGCCCUAUGGACUGAUUUCACCUGAUCCAAACGUGUCAGCCAUCCGACUCUGGUGAGUGUUGGGGAUAAAUCUGCUCUUAGUCCAUCCAGCCAUUUGCAAAUACUGUGGCAAUAAUCUGACCAAAUUUCUCAGAGGAGAUAAAUUUUACAUGGUGGUUCUUUGAGUCUCACUUCUGUGGGUAGGGCCUCCAGUAGAACAUCUGUAGACUUUCAGGCAUGUUCAUAUUAUUAUGGCUAAAAGUGAAGUGUGGGUGUGCGGGUCUCUUCCCUACCUAUGGCAGCUCCUAUGUCCCUGAGUGAUUUCCAGUUUGGGGUGGUUAUGAGUAGAAAAUGUUGGGAGGCCUUUGGCUUUCAGAAGCGUAUUUUUAAAAAAGGUUUUAAUUUAUUUACUCAUGAGAGACACACACAGAGGGGCAGAGACAUAGGCAGAUGGAGAAGCAGGCUCCCUUUAGGGAGCCUGAUGUGGAACUUGAUCCCAGGGCCACAGGAUCAUGACCUGAGCCAAAGGCAGAAGCUCAACCACUGAGCCACCCAGGUGGUGCCCCAGCUUUCAGUGUAUUAUUCAAGUUAUACCACACAUUUAAUUUGAAAAAAUUAAUUUUUCCACAAAUGCAUUAUUUUGAAAAGUAACUUGAUGUAGUAGGCUUCCACAGGAAGUGGUCUCCCUCGUAUAGGACUGUAUCCUGUGGUGUUGCUGGGAAGAGAGGGGGGCUGUAGUUAGUAGCACGGUUGGUGAUGGUGAGACAAAUGGUUCACCCUGACGAUUUCCUCUACAAUCCCCUUAGAGAGAUGUGGGCCAGCCCUAUAACUUACCAGGAGUGAUCCAUCAUGGCAGUGGAUGGGUUUCAGGCUACAACACGGUCUAGACAGAGAGAAGGAAGGCCAAUGAGAGGGAAGCAGAUUUUCUCCUGGAUAAAGGCAGAAAAACAGAUGUUAAUGAUUAGCUUUACUGUGGGUUCUGUGUCCCUGGGUGUGUGUGAGAAGUCCAUGUAGAGUUUUUGAGGCCUCUCUGGUUUUGCCCCAGAGGGAAAGAAAAAGGCCUUUUUCUGGUGAGGU